rnacentral:rRNA from 1 species
ACCCGCUGAAUUUAAGCAUAUUACUAAGCGGAGGAAAAGAAACUAACGAGGAUUCCCCUAGUAGCGGCGAGCGAAGAGGGAAGAGCCCAGCGCCGAAUCCCCCGUCCCGCNCGGGCGUGGGGAAAUGUGGCGUACGGAAGACCGUUUCUCUCGGCGCGGGCCAGGUGUCUGAGUCCUUCUGAUGGAGGCUCAGCCCGUGGACGGUGUGAGGCCGGUAACGACCAGCCCCGCCGCGGUGNUCUUCUCGGAGUCGGGUUGCUUGGGAAUGCAGCCCAAAGCGGGUGGUAAACUCCAUCUAAGGCUAAAUACCGGCACGAGACCGAUAGCGAACAAGUACC